GGCUGUCUGGUGUAUUGGUUAUCACGUCUCGUUCACAAAGUGAAUUUCUUCCGAGAAGGUACCAGGUUCGAUCCCUGGGAUGGUCA